GAAAACCCACAACAGCGGGCCGUAUUUGUUGAAGAAAGAGCCGGGGAAAGAUACGGCUGCCAACGUGGAGGGGGAAAGUGCAAGGAGAAGGAUAAAGGAUGCGGUGAAAGGGAUCCUUUACCGGACACGUGCCCUGAGAACAGAGUUUGCUGCAAGUUUUAAUAAAGCACUAACCACCCCACAAUGCCCAGAGCACUCUGAAGUGAAUGAUCUAUUUUCGUUUGGAAUAAACUUAUUUCGGAUUGUCA